UGGGGAAUAUUGGGCAAUGGGGGCAACCCUGACCCAGCGACGCCGCGUGAGGGAAGAAGGUUUUCGGAUUGUAAACCUCUGUCCUCUGUGAAGAUAAUGACGGUAGCAGAGGAGGAAGCCACGGCUAACUACGUGCCAGCAGCCGCGGUAAUACGUAGGGGGCGAGCGUUAUCCGGAAUUACUGGGUGUAAAGCGUUCGUAGGCGGUAUGUCAAGUCUGGUGUUAAAGCCCGAGGCUCAACCUCGGUUCGGCAUUGGAUACUGGCAAACUAGAAUGUGGUAGAGGUAAAGGGAAUUCCUGGUGUAGCGGUGAAAUGCGUAGAUAUCAGGAGGAACAUCGGUGGCGAAAGCGCUUUACUGGACCAUUAUUGACGCUGAGGAACGAAAGCCAGGGGAGCAAAUG
rnacentral:rRNA from 1 species